rnacentral:rRNA from 1 species
CCUACGGGCGACAGCAGUGGGGAAUAUUGGGCAAUGGGCGCAAGCCUGACCCAGCAACGCCGCGUGAAGGAAGAAGGCUUUCGGGUUGUAAACUUCUUUUGUCAGGGAAGAGUAGAAGACGGUACCUGACGAAUAAACCACGGCUAACUACGUGCCAGCAGCCGCGGUAAUACGUAGGUGGCAAGCGUUGUCCGGAUUUACUGGGUGUAAAGGGCGUGUAGCCGGGUUGACAAGUCAGAUGUGAAAUCCUGCGGCUUAACCGCAGAACUGCAUUUGAAACUGUUGAUCUUGAGUACUGGAGAGGCAGACGGAAUUCCUAGUGUAGCGGUGAAAUGCGUAGAUAUUAGGAGGAACACCAGUGGCGAAGGCGGUCUGCUGGACAGCAACUGACGGUGAGGCGCGAAAGCGUGGGGAGCAAACAGGAUUAGAUACCCCAGUAGUC